UUUAUCUCUCUCUCUCUCUGUGUCUGUGGCUGUGUGUGUGAUACACGUAUAUAUACAUGAAGAAUAUGCAGAGGAAGUUUCUAAAGGCAUGCUGUAACAAGUGGAGUAAGACGGAGAGUAGAGUCAUACCGUGUGCGGGAUGUGAGCACUGCUGCCAGUGGGGUUUGUGGGCUUCCUCGCAUGAAGGGAAGUCAAUACCAAGAGAUGUCCCAAAGGGUCAUUUAGUGGUUUAUGUGGGGGAAAACUACAAACGGUUUGUGAUCAAACUUAGCUUACUUCACCACCCACUCUUCAGGGCAUUGCUGGAUCGGGCUCAGGAUGAAUAUGACUUUACUGCUGAUUCCAAACUCUGCAUUCCCUGUGAGGAGAGCAUUUUCCUUGAUGUUGUUCGAUGUGCUAGCUUUCCACAGGGUUCAAGAACCUGCCUGUGUCUCUGAGAAUUCAUUCAAUAGAGAGCUCUGAUUAAUUCUUGUUCCUUGAGGCUUAAGCUAAUGCUAAAGCAUAACCCAUUAAUUAUAUGCUGUAUACCAUAUGUAGUUACUGUAAUAUAACAAUUUCUCUGCCUGAUCAUAAUUGCAAUUCCAUUUGAUAAUGGUAAAUUUUCG
rnacentral:misc_RNA from 1 species